rnacentral:snRNA from 1 species
AUGCUUGAAGCACAUUCACCAACCUGGCAUGACACAGAGAAGAUUAGCAUAGUUACCAUACAAGGAUGGCAUGCAAAUUGGAGCAGUCCAUAUUUUA